UAACCUGCCCAAGAGAUCGGGAUAACACCUGGAAACAGAUGCUAAUACCGGAUAACAACAGAUGAUGCCUAUCAACUGUUUAAAAGAUGGUUCUGCUAUCACUCUUGGAUGGACCUGCGGUGCAUUAGCUAGUUGGUAAGGUAACGGCUUACCAAGGCGAUGAUGCAUAGCCGAGUUGAGAGACUGAUCGGCCACAUUGGGACUGAGACACGGCCCAAACUCCUACGGGAGGCAGCAGGU
rnacentral:rRNA from 1 species